GACGAACGCUGGCGGCGUGCUUAACACAUGCAAGUCGAACGGAAAGGCCCUGCUUUUGUGGGGUGCUCGAGUGGCGAACGGGUGAGUAACACAUGAGUAACCUGCCCUUGACUUUGGGAUAACUUCAGGAAACUGGGGCUAAUACCGGAUAGGAGCUCCUGCUGCAUGGUGGGGGUUGGAAAGUUUCGGCGGUUGGGGAUGGACUCGCGGCUUAUCAGCUUGUUGGUGGGGUAGUGGCUUACCAAGGCUUUGACGGGUAGCCGGCCUGAGAGGGUGACCGGCCACAUUGGGACCGAGAUACGGCCCAGACUCCUACGGGAGGCAGCAGUGGGGAAUAUUGCACAAUGGGCGGAAGCCUGAUGCAGCAACGCCGCGUGCGGGAUGACGGCCUUCGGGUUGUAAACCGCUUUCGCCUGUGACGAAGCGUGAGUGACGGUAAUGGGUAAAGAAGCACCGGCUAACUACGUG
rnacentral:rRNA from 1 species